UACGUAGGGCGCAAGCGUUGUCCGGAAUUAUUGGGCGUAAAGAGCUCGUAGGCGGCUUGUCGCGUCGACUGUGAAAACCCGUGGCUCAACCAUGUGGUCUGCAGUCGAUACGGGCAGGCUAGAAUUCGGUAGGGGAGACUGGAAUUCCUGGUGUAGCGGUGAAAUGCGCAGAUAUCAGGAGGAACACCGGUGGCGAAGGCGGGUCUCUGGGCCGAUACUGACGCUGAGGAGCGAAAGCGUGGGGAGCGAACAGG
rnacentral:rRNA from 1 species